AACGAACGCUGGCGGCAUGCCUAACACAUGCAAGUCGAACGAAGGCUUCGGCCUUAGUGGCGCACGGGUGCGUAACGCGUGGGAAUCUGCCCUUUGGUUCGGAAUAACAGCUGGAAACGGCUGCUAAUACCGGAUGAUGACGAAAGUCCAAAGAUUUAUCGCCAGAGGAUGAGCCCGCGUUGGAUUAGGUAGUUGGUGGGGUAAAGGCCUACCAAGCCGACGAUCCAUAGCUGGUCUGAGAGGAUGAUCAGCCACACUGGGACUGAGACACGGCCCAGACUCCUACGGGAGGCAGCAGUGGGUAAUAUUGGACAGUGGGCGCAAGCCUGAUCCAGCUAUGCCGCGUGAGUGAUGAAGGCCCUAGGGUUGUAAAGCUCUUUUACCCGGGAAGAUAAUGACUGUACCGGGAGAAUAAGCCCCGGCUAACUCCGUG
rnacentral:rRNA from 1 species